CACGUAGGCACCAAGCGUUGUCCGGAUUUAUUGGGCGUAAAGAGCUCGUAGGCGGUUCGGCAAGUCGGGUGUGAAAACUCCAGGCUCAACCUGGAGACGCCACCCGAUACUGCUGUGACUUGAGUCCGGUAGGGGACCACGGAAUUCCUGGUGUAGCGGUGAAAUGCGCAGAUAUCAGGAGGAACACCUAUUGCGAAGGCAGCUCGCUGGGACGUAACUGACGCUGAGACGCGAAAGCGUGGGGAGCAAACAGG
rnacentral:rRNA from 1 species